GCUACCAUGCAAGUCGAGCGGGGAAAAGUAGCUUGCUACUUGACCUAGCGGCGGACGGGUGAGUAAUGCUUAGGAAUCUGCCUAUUAGUGGGGGACAACAUCUCGAAAGGGAUGCUAAUACCGCAUACGUCCUACGGGAGAAAGCAGGGGACCUUCGGGCCUUGCGCUAAUAGAUGAGCCUAAGUCGGAUUAGCUAGUUGGUGGGGUAAAGGCCUACCAAGGCGACGAUCUGUAGCGGGUCUGAGAGGAUGAUCCGCCACACUGGGACUGAGACACGGCCCAGACUCCUACGGGAGGCAGCAGUGGGGAAUAUUGGACAAUGGGGGGAACCCUGAUCCAGCCAUGCCGCGUGUGUGAAGAAGGCCUUUUGGUUGUAAAGCACUUUAAGCGAGGAGGAGGCUACCGAGAUUAAUACUCUUGGAUAGUGGACGUUACUCGCAGAAUAAGCACCGGCUAACUCUGUGCCAGCAGCCGCGGUAAUACAGAGGGUGCAAGCGUUAAUCGGAUUUACUGGGCGUAAAGCGCGCGUAGGUGGCCAAUUAAGUCAAAUGUGAAAUCCCCGAGCUUAACUUGGGAAUUGCAUUCGAUACUGGUUGGCUAGAGUAUGGGAGAGGAUGGUAGAAUUCCAGGUGUAGCGGUGAAAUGCGUAGAGAUCUGGAGGAAUACCGAUGGCGAAGGCAGCCAUCUGGCCUAAUACUGACACUGAGGUGCGAAAGCAUGGGGAGCAAACAGGAUUAGAUACCCUGGUAGUCCAUGCCGUAAACGAUGUCUACUAGCCGUUGGGGCCUUUGAGGCUUUAGUGGCGCAGCUAACGCGAUAAGUAGACCGCCUGGGGAGUACGGUC
rnacentral:rRNA from 1 species